AUUGGAGGUAUAUGUUUGUAAUCUCAGCUUUUAGGAAAGUAGAGAUUUCUGGAUCUCAAGAGAUCAGGAGUUCUAAGCUACAGUGAGCUAUGUUCAAGUACCCAUACUAAGUUCAGCAUCAAUAUGGUGAAGCUCUGAGUGGGAAUAUUGAAGGUGGGACAAGUUGCCUAAGGAGGGGCAAACCAGCCUAGCUUGGAAAUGGAGCAGGUCAAAGGUCCUAUACUGAUGAGUAGUGGGAUCAAUCCCAUGAGUAGCUCUUGUAUUUCCAGCUUGUCAAGAUGGAGAGACCCGAUCUUA
rnacentral:sRNA from 1 species